rnacentral:snoRNA from 1 species
AUUGCUGCAUUAGACCGAAUGCACCAUGUGGAAAUCAACCUUGGAGAGCUGAGUA